rnacentral:rRNA from 1 species
UAGUCAAUUGUUAUUAUUCAUAUUAAUUAAUUUAAUUGUUUUUAAAUUUUAUUUUAGUUUAUUUUUUAAAUAUUGUGCAAAUUGUUUAGGAAUAGUUAAUAAUAAUUUAUAAUUUUGAUUAGAUUAUUUUGUUAAUGCUAAUAUAUAGGUGUGGAAAAAGUGAAAAAUGUAAAAUACAAUAAAAUAAAAAACAAAAUUAACUCAUUAGUCAGAAAUGGAUGCCAGCCGUUGCGGUAAUUUCUAUGCUUUUAAAUAUUAUAAUGUUAUUUUAUCUCAAUGUUAUUUCUAAAUUCUAUAGAUUAGUCAAAAAUAAAUAUUUAAUUUUUUGUUUUUAAACACCAUCCGGUAUAUGCAAAUAAAAAAUGAAAGUAAUUAUUAAUUAUAUUAUAUUAUAUUUAUUCACAUUUUUACAUCUCCAAUAUUACGAACUUUUGACACCAUGAUAAGGAUAUUGAAUGGAAUUGAAAAUUUUAUAAUCAAAAUUAAUUAAUUAUAUUAAAUCUGCAAAAUUAGAUAAAACAAAAAAUUUAAAAGGUAUUGUUGCCCA